UAGGGAAUCUUCGGCAAUGGGGGGAACCCUGACCGAGCAACGCCGCGUGAGUGAAGAAGGUUUUCGGAUCGUAAAGCUCUGUUGUUAAGGAAGAACGAGUGUGAGAAUGGAAAGUUCAUACUGUGACGGUACUUAACCAGAAAGGGACGGCUAACUACGUGCCAGCAGCCGCGGUAAUACGUAGGUCCCGAGCGUUGUCCGGAUUUAUUGGGCGUGAAGCGAGCGCAGGCGGUUAGAAAAGUCUGAAGUGAAAGACAGUGGCUCAACCAUUGUAGGCUUUGGAAACUGUUUAACUUGAGUGCAGAAGGGGAGAGUGGAAUUCCAUGUGUAGCGGUGAAAUGCGUAGAUAUAUGGAGGAACACCGGUGGCGAAAGCGGCUCUCUGGUCUGUAACUGACGCUGAGGCUCGAAAGCGUGGGGAGCGAACAGGAUUAGAUACCCUGGUAGUCCACGCCGUAAACGAUGAGUGCUAGGUGUUAGGUCCUUUCCGGGACUUAGUGCCGCAGCUAACGCAUUAAGCACUCCGCCUGGGGAGUACGACCGCAAGGUUG
rnacentral:rRNA from 1 species